rnacentral:rRNA from 1 species
UACGUAGGGCGCAAGCGUUAUCCGGAAUUAUUGGGCGUAAAGGGCUCGUAGGCGGUCUGUUGCGUCGGGAGUGAAAACUCAGGGCUUAACCCUGAGCCUGCUUCCGAUACGGGCAGACUAGAGGUAUGCAGGGGAGAACGGAAUUCCUGGUGUAGCGGUGAAAUGCGCAGAUAUCAGGAGGAACACCGGUGGCGAAGGCGGUUCUCUGGGCAUUACCUGACGCUGAGGAGCGAAAGUGUGGGGAGCGAACAGG